rnacentral:rRNA from 1 species
AACGAACGCUGGCGGCAUGCCUAACACAUGCAAGUCGAACGAGACCUUCGGGUCUAGUGGCGCACGGGUGCGUAACGCGUGGGAACCUGCCCUUAGGUUCGGAAUAACUCCCCGAAAGGGGUGCUAAUACCGGAUAAUGUCUUCGGACCAAAGAUUUAUCGCCUUUGGAUGGGCCCGCGUUGGAUUAGCUAGUUGGUAGGGUAAAAGCCUACCAAGGCGACGAUCCAUAGCUGGUCGGAGAGGAUGAUCAGCCACAAUGGGACUGAGACACGGCCCAGACUCCUACGGAAGGCAGCAGUGGGGAAUAUUGGAGGAUGGGCGAAAGCCUGAUAAAGCAAUGCCGCGUGAGUGAUGAAGGCCUUAGGGUUGUAAAGCUCUUUUACCCGGGACGAUAAUGACAGUAACGGGAGAAUAAGCUCCGGCUAACUCCGUG